rnacentral:rRNA from 1 species
GUGUCAGCAGCCGCGGUAAUACGUAGGGCGCAAGCGUUAUCCGGAAUUAUUGGGCGUAAAGAGCUCGUAGGCGGUUUGUCGCGUCUGCCGUGAAAGUCCGGGGCUCAACCCCGGAUCUGCGGUGGGUACGGGCAGACUUGAGUGCAGUAGGGGAGACUGGAAUUCCUGGUGUAGCGGUGAAAUGCGCAGAUAUCAGGAGGAACACCGAUGGCGAAGGCAGGUCUCUGGGCUGUAACUGACGCUGAGGAGCGAAAGCAUGGGGAGCGAACAGGAUUAGAAACCCUUGUAGUCC